CUGGGAGUGAGAGAGAAAAACAACCUGCCCUUUCUCAGCCCCCUUAGAGGUGGGUCAUUGCAAUGUUAGCUGGUCUAAUAACUGGGCUUUUCCCUUGUACUUGGUGUGUUUCUAGCCCAGAUUGUCUUAGCUGUAGUCACACAUAGAUGUAAUUUUAUAUUCUGAAUUUUUUCCUUUUUGUAUCAGUGUUUUCUUUGCAUUGUGGGAAGGUCGUUGAAUCUACAAGAGCCUGAUGGAAUGACUCUGUACAGUGCAUAUAGUGCCACAAGUGUGGUAGAAACAUUGUAGGAAGUGUCAUGCUAGAGAAGAAGUUUGACCAGUCUGUCCCUACUGGAGAUAGAGCAAGAACAAAGAAGUUUUAUGUUCUUUAUUAAAAAGAACUUGCUGCUCGUGAGGUGGUGGAUUCCCAAAGAGACUGUGGUCCUUCUUCACUAGAAGUCAGAGACUUCCGUGAUGACUGCUAAGUAUUUUUGUCUUGAGUUUCAAACGCAGCUGGCAUUUUCUGCUUCUGAGAGAGGCCAGAGAAGCAUUCUUAGAAAGGUGUGAUUUCAAAGGAGAUCAUGUUCUAAAUCCAACUGCCUAUUACUUAUCAGUGUAAUUAUUCAUAAAACAUUUUCUUUCUGUA